UACGAAGGGGGCUAGCGUUGCUCGGAAUCACUGGGCGUAAAGCGCACGUAGGCGGAUCUUUAAGUCAGGGGUGAAAUCCCAAGGCUCAACCUUGGAACUGCCUUUGAUACUGGGGAUCUCGAGUCCGGAAGAGGUUGGUGGAACGUCUGCGAGUGUAGAGGUGAAAUUCGUAGAUAUUCGCAAGAACACCAGUGGCGAAGGCGGCUCACUGGACCGUUGUUGACGCUGAGGUGCGAAAGCGUGGGGAGCA
rnacentral:rRNA from 1 species